rnacentral:rRNA from 1 species
UACGGAGGAUGCAGGCGUUAUCCGGAUUUAUUAGGUUUAAAGGGUGCGUAGGCGGCUUGAUAAGUCAGGGGUGAAAUCUACCAGCUUAACUGGUAGUUUGCCUUUGAUACUGUUGAGCUAGAGUACGAACGAGGUAGGCGGAAUGUGCAGUGUAGCGGUGAAAUGCUUAGAUAUUGCACAGAACACCGAUUGCGGAGGCAGCUUACUAGGCCGUUACUGACGCUGAUGCACGAAAGCGUGGGGAUCAAACAGGAUUAGAUACCCUGGUAGUCCACGCCGUAAACGAUGAUCACUUGCUGUUGGCGAUAGAUAGUCAGUGGCAAAGGGAAACCGAUAAGUGAUCCACCUGGGGAGUACGUUCGCAAGAAUGAA